GAAAAAAUGGAACGCUUCACGAUUUUGCGUGUCAUCCUUGCGCAAGGGCCAUGUUGAUCUUCUCUGUAUCGUUCGGAUUUUAGUAUAUGUAC
rnacentral:snRNA from 1 species